CAUCUUAAGCAGCUGAAGCUGCCAGCAUGAUCUGAUCUUUAAUUCUUUCGUUUUUACUUGACUUCUGAAUAAAUUGGUUGGAAUUACUGGGUCAAUCCGUUCCUAUUUACAUAGAUUGAUCAGAUCGUGCUGCGCAGUUUCAUCUGCUAAUCGG
rnacentral:pre_miRNA from 1 species